rnacentral:rRNA from 1 species
GUGCGAGGGCAUAUAGUCCUCGCUUUUCACCACCGUAAGGUGGUGGUGGAAUAAGUGCUGGGCAAGACCGGUGCCAGCCGCCGCGGUAAUACCGGCAGCACGAGUGAUGACCGCUAUUAUUGGGCCUAAAGCGUCCGUAGCUGGCCACGCAAGUCUAUCGGGAAAUCUGCGCGCUUAACGCGCAGGCGUCCGGUGGAAACUGCCUGGCUUGGGACCGGAAGACCAGAGGGGUACGUCCGGGGUAGGAGUGAAAUCCCUUAUUCCUGGACGG